rnacentral:rRNA from 1 species
GACGAACCGUCCUAACGUUGUUCGGAAUCACUGGGCUUAAAGGGCGCGUAGGCGGGUCUCCAAGUCGGUGGUGAAAUCUUUCAGCUCAACUGGAAAAGUGCCGCCGAUACUGGGGAUCUCGAGGGAGGUAGGGGUCGAUGGAACUAAUGGUGGAGCGGUGAAAUGCGUAGAGAUCCGGAGGAACACCAGAGGCGAAAGCGGCGCUCUGGGCUGCACCUGACGCUGAACUGCGAAAGCCAGGGGAGCGAACGGG